rnacentral:rRNA from 1 species
UACGUAGGGUGCGAGCGUUACUCGGAAUUACUGGGCGUAAAGCGUGCGCAGGCGGCGCGUUAAGUCAGGUGUGAAAGCCCUGGGCUUAACCUAGGAAUUGCGCUUGAGACUGGAUAGCUUGGAGUGCGGCAGAGGGAGGUGGAAUUCCACGUGUAGCAGUGAAAUGCGUAGAGAUGUGGAGGAACACCGAUGGCGAAGGCAGCCUCCUGGGCCAGCACUGACGCUCAUGCACGAAAGCGUGGGGAGCAAACAGG